GACGAACGCUGGCGGCGUGCCUAAUACAUGCAAGUCGAGCGAAGUUUUUCUGGUGCUUGCACUAGAAAAACUUAGCGGCGAACGGGUGAGUAACACGUAAAGAACCUGCCUCAUAGACGGGGACAACUAUUGGAAACGAUAGCUAAUACCGGAUAACAGCAUAAAUCGCAUGAUAUGUGUUUAAAAGUUGGUUUCGGCUAACACUAUGAGAUGGCUUUGCGGUGCAUUAGCUAGUUGGUGGGGUAAAGGCCUACCAAGGCGACGAUGCAUAGCCGACCUGAGAGGGUGAUCGGCCACACUGGGACUGAGACACGGCCCAGACUCCUACGGGAGGCAGCAGUAGGGAAUCUUCCGCAAUGGGCGAAAGCCUGACGGAGCAACGCCGCGUGAGUGAAGAAGGAUUUCGGUUCGUAAAGCUCUGUUGUUAGGGAAGAAUGAUUGUAUAGUAACUAUAUACAGUAGAGACGUACCUAACCAGAAGCC
rnacentral:rRNA from 1 species